rfam:Mesoplasma florum L1 complete genome.
GGGGAUGUCCUGGUUUCGACAGGAUACUCUGGUCAUAUAAUAGCAGUGGUGUGGUAGACCAUAAUACUUCUAGGUUUGAUAAAAUGCAAACAAAAACGAAGAAAACACAAACGAAGUUCCAACAUUUAUGUUAAAUGCUGGACAAGCAAAUUACGCUUUCGCUUAAUUUGACUUAAAUACAAAUAUACGUUUGGCAAUUUUUAAUAGUCUUGGAAUCUGUUAAUUAUUGUACAUACCAAUUCCAAUAGAAAUUAUGAUCGUAAUAAAUAAUUUUGAAACUCAAUUACGGAUGUUAUAUUAGUCUUUUGAUAAUUUUAUUUAAUAUAGCAAAUUAGAAAAUUAUCUAAACUGUAGAAUUUAUAUGAUUCGGUAUUUUGGACGUGGGUUCGAUUCCCACCAUCUCCACCA